rnacentral:rRNA from 1 species
AUAUUGCACAUGGUGUGAAAGCCUGAUCUCGCAAUGCCGCGUGAGUGAUGAAGGCCUUAGGGUUGUAAAGCUCUUUUACCAGGGAAGAUAAUGAGAGUACCUGGAAAAUAAGCUCCGGCUAACUCCGUGCCAGCAGCCGCGGUUAAACGGAGGGAGCUAGCGUUGUUCGGAAAUACUGGGCGUAAAGCGCACGUAGGCGGCGCCGUAAGUCAGGGGUGAAAUCCCGAGGCUCAACCCCGGAACUGCCUUUGAAACUGCAGUGCUAGAAUCUUGGAGAGGUCAGUGGAAUUCCGAGUGUAGAGGUGAAAUUCGUAGAUAUUCGGAAGAACACCAGUGGCGAAGGCGACUGACUGGACAAGUAUUGACGAUGAGGUGCGAAAGCGUGGGGAGCAAACA